UACAGAGGGGGCAAGCGUUAUUCGGAAUUAUUGGGCGUAAAGGGCGCGUAGGCGGCUUUGCAAGUGGCGGGUGAAAUCCCUCGGCUUAACCGAGGAACUGCCUGUCAAACUGCAUGGCUUGAGACCAGGAGAGGUGAGUGGAAUUCCCAGUGUAGCGGUGAAAUGCGUAGAUAUCAGGAGGAACACCGAUGGCGAAGGCAGGUCUCUGGGCCAUAACUGACGCUGAGAAGCGAAAGCAUGGGGAGCGAACAGG
rnacentral:rRNA from 1 species